UGCUUGCACCUUUCAAGCGAGUGGCGAACGGGUGAGUAACACGUGGAUAACCUGCCUCAAGGCUGGGGAUAACAUUUGGAAACAGAUGCUAAUACCGAAUAAAACUUAGUAUCGCAUGAUAUCAAGUUAAAAGGCGCUACGGCGUCACCUAGAGAUGGAUCCGCGGUGCAUUAGUUAGUUGGUGGGGUAAAGGCUUACCAAGACGAUGAUGCAUAGCCGAGUUGAGAGACUGAUCGGCCACAUUGGGACUGAGACACGGCCCAAACUCCUACGGGAGGCUGCAGUAGGGAAUCUUCCACAAUGGGCGCAAGCCUGAUGGAGCAACGCCGCGUGUGUGAUGAAGGCUUUCGGGUCGUAAAGCACUGUUGUAUGGGAAGAAAUGCUAAAAUAGGGAAUGAUUUUAGUUUGACGGUACCAUACCAGAAAGGGACGGCUAAAUACGUGCCAGCAGCCGCGGUAAUACGUAUGUCCCGAGCGUUAUCCGGAUUUAUUGGGCGUAAAGCGAGCGCAGACGGUUGAUUAAGUCUGAUGUGAAAGCCCGGAGCUCAACUCCGGAAUGGCAUUGGAAACUGGUUAACUUGAGUGUUGUAGAGGUAAGUGGAACUCCUGGUGAAAGC
rnacentral:rRNA from 1 species